GAUGAACGCUGGCGGCGUGCCUAAUACAUGCAAGUCGAGCGAACAGACGAGGAGCUUGCUCCUUUGAUGUUAGCGGCGGACGGGUGAGUAACACGUAGGUAGCCUACCUAUAAGACUGGGAUAACUUCGGGAAACCGGAGCUAAUACCGGAUAAUAUUUCGAACCGCAUGGUUCGAUAGUGAAAGAUGGCUUUGCUAUCACUUAUAGAUGGACCUGCGCCGUAUUAGCUAGUUGGUAAGGUAACGGCUUACCAAGGCAACGAUACGUAGCCGACCUGAGAGGGUGAUCGGCCACACUGGAACUGAGACACGGUCCAGACUCCUACGGGAGGCAGCAGUAGGGAAUCUUCCGCAAUGGGCGAAAGCCUGACGGAGCAACGCCGCGUGAGUGAUGAAGGUCUUCGGAUCGUAAAACUCUGUUAUUAGGGAAGAACAAACGUGUAAGUAACUGUGCACGUCUUGACGGUACCUAAUCAGAAAGCCACGGCUAACUACGUG
rnacentral:rRNA from 1 species